rnacentral:rRNA from 1 species
GAUGAACGCUGGCGGCGUGCCUAAUACAUGCAAGUCGAGCGAACAGACGAUGAGCUUGCUCCUCUGACGUUAGCGGCGGACGGGUGUGUAACACGUGUAUAACCUACCUAUAAGUCUGGGAUAACUUCGGGAAACCGGAGCUAAUACCGUAUAAUAUAUUGAAGCGCAUGGUUCAAUAGUGAAAGACGGUUUUGCUGUCACUUAUAGAUGGAUCCGCGCCGCAUUAGCUAGUUGGUAAGGUAACGGCUUUCCAAGGGGAGGAUGCGUAGCCGAGCGCAGAGACUGAUCGGCCACCCUGGAGCUGGGACACGGUCCAGACUCCUAAGGGAGGCAGCAGUCGGGAAUCUUCCGCAAUGGGCGAAAGCCUGACGGAGCAACGCCGCGUGAGAGAUGAAGGUGUUCGGAUCGUAAAACUCUGUUAUUAGGGAAGAACAACUGUGUAAGUAACCAUGCACGUCUUGACGGUACCUAAUCAGAAAGCCACGGCUAACUACGUG